UACGGAGGAUGCAAGCGUUAUCCGGAAUGAUUGGGUGUAAAGCGUCCGCAGGUGGCUGUGUAAGUCUGCUGUUAAAGAGUGAGGCUCAACCUCAUAAAAGCAGUGGAAACUACACGGCUAGAGUGCGUUCGGGGCAGAGGGAAUUCCUGGUGUAGCGGUGAAAUGCGUAGAUAUCAGGAAGAACACCGGUGGCGAAAGCGCUCUGCUAGGCCGCAACUGACACUGAGGGACGAAAGCUAGGGGAGCGAAUGGG
rnacentral:rRNA from 1 species